ACCCUAAGAAUGAACAAACUUCAUUGAGCCCAGAGGAGAGGGAGGCUGUACAAAUUUUGGAGGAGCUUUUGCUACAAACAGCCUACAGAUGUAUAUAGGAAAUCCACUUCUAUAAAUUCUUUGCUGUAAGCCAAUUCGGCACAGCAACAUUCCACAAUUAAAGAGGUCCCGGUGGGGCAGUUCCUAAGGAUGAAGAGUAUCUGUUCCUCUAGAGACAGAUUUGAAAAACAAAGCAAGGACCUGACUCAACGUUUUCUUGAAAGAGGAUAUAGUAAAAGAUCGGUGAAGCAAGCAUACCACAGAGCAAGGCCCAUGGCUGUGACCUAAGAUCUUUGCGAUUAAGAGGAAAAGAAAAGGUACAGAGUGUCAUCAGAGGGACCAAUGCGAAGCAAAUUUUGGCAAAAAAGGAAUGACGUUGGAUUGUUACCCUGGGUA